UACGUAGGGGGCUAGCGUUAUCCGGAUUUACUGGGUGUAAAGGGAGCGCAGACGGAACUGCAAGUCUGAUGUGAAAGCCCGGGGCUCAACCGCGGGACUGCAUCGGAUACUGUAGAUCUGGAGUGCCGGAGGGGCAAGCGGAAUUCCUGGUGUAGCGGUGAAAUGCGUAGAUAUCAGGAGGAACACCGGCGGCGAAGGCGGCUUGCUGGACGGCAACUGACGUUGAGGCUCGAACGCGUGGGGAGCAAACAGGAUUAGAUACCCU
rnacentral:rRNA from 1 species